ACAAAAAAAAAAAACAAAUGAUAAACAAGCAGUGUUUAAUUUAUUCUUUUUUGAUAGACAUCCAGUUGUGACUGGAGAAACAGUUAUUUCUGAGGAAAGACUAAGGGUAGUUUCUUUUUCCCAAAGUGAUUCAAAGGAGAGGUAGUCUAUGAACAGGUUAAAUAUGUGGUAUUAAGCCACAGAUGCCAGUAAUAUGUAAUGAUGUAGUGGAACAUUAGAAAAUACCAAGGAGCUGAACUUAGGUUUGGAAUAGAGUUGGGAUUUUCAAUGCUCUUAAGUUUUAGUUUGUUUUUAUUUUGGUGUAUAUAUGUCAUUAUACUGUGUUUUAUUGGUCUACCAUGUUCUGUGUUAUCUCCAUGGAAUGUUUGUGAAGGAAUAUGAAACAAUUCACCAAACUUAAAAGUGAUGAAGAUAAUCAAAAAACAGCAACGAAAAUGUGCGGAUUUGGUACAAGCUUUACUAGGUAUUACUACACUGGAAGUAUUGCUUCUGCAUCUCUUGUCAUGUUACUAAUGUUCCUUACUCUUAGAAUACCAGGAAUGUUAUUCAUUAGUCCCAUGUCUGAAGAACACAGAUGAACUCAGUUUGCCAGAGCUCAUGUAGGAGGGGUUCCAUCCAUAUGGAGGACAUUGUGGUCACCCACCAGAAGACAUGACCAAUGCAGUGAAACAUGAGUUUCUACGGAUGUCAGAUUCUGAAGUUUCCCUGAUUUACUCUGGUUCAGUAUGGAAUGCGUGGAUUUUACAGACGCACUGUGCUAUGCAUUCUUCUCCUUCCUUGCAUGGCAAGAGAAGACGGUCAGAAAUGGUUAUCUACCAUGUGAAUUUCAACUUGACAGUCUGUUAAAUCCCAAGGGUAGCAUGUGCAUUGGCUAAUGUUUGGCUUGGCAUCUGCAGACAGAACAAGUCUUCUGAAGUCUCAUAAAAAGUUGUGAUGAUCAGAAGAAAAUGAAGGACAUGCAACACAUGCUGUCUUCCACAUGUCAUUCUGUUCCUUUUUUUUUUUUAAUUCAUUUUCUCUCUCCUCUUCUAGACACCUGCAGAUUCAGACAUUACAGUAUCUGCACACAAAAGAUGCAGUGCAGUGAUACAACCCGUUCCCCUCUGCUAUAAGCUGUUCUGGCUACCUUCCUAAAAAUUUCAGUAAAUAUGUACAAAAGCAAAAGUUUCAGCAGGUUUUUUUUCAGGGGGAGAGGGAGGAGAAGGGCAAGCGGUCCUUGCUACAACCAAAACUUUUGCAGUUUUACAUUAUAGAAACACUCAGACCUCUGUUCUCCAUCCCAGCUUAAUAGCCAUAGGGAAUCUAAAAGAGCUUUCUUCAACCCAUCCCAAAAUAAAUGAAUAAAUAAAUAAGUAAAUAAAUAAAAUAAUAAUCUAACAAGUAACAGAUGUUUAAACUUGCUUCAGCUGCAAUUAAAGCAAAGUUUUUGUGCUACAGAGCCUCUUUUAAAGCUCUGCACAGUCCUUCUAUUUGUCAGUGGCUGUUCUUGUGGUAGGGCUAGAAAGUUCUUUUCUCCUUAGGCCAUCUCCAUCAACUCUGCACUGUUUCAUAUAAAAGAACUUUAAUGAAUGUGCUUGGUUAGCUCUUCCUUAGCCCACCAAAGCAUCAGACUUCACAGACUGUUUUAUUCUUUUACUAAGUUUCUUUGCAAUUUCCUCACUAAGUCACUUCUCACUGGGGUUAACAAAACAAAACAAAUGUGCAACUCCUAGUUCAAGUCAGAGCAAGACUUUUGGUAGUCAAAAUACAAAACUCAUGCAUCCAGUCAUUCUAAAAAGAGAUUUGUAGUAUUUCUGUAUCAAAAAGCAAGUGUGCUGUGGUAAGUAUAGUUCAGAACAGCUAAGGGUUUAAACAAUGAGGCAAUAAUACAGUAUUGUACAACUGCUGAAAAAGGGCAGGGGCAAGUAAGAGACAAAGUGUUCAACAAAGUAUUUUCAGGUGAUUUAAUACUUUUUGCUAAAGUACAUGAUAACAAAGGUCACUUUGUGAUAGCAGUUGUCUUUGGGGUUUAGUAAACAGAACUAUAUUAUUGUUGGAGUGUGUUCUAACUUAGGCCUCUUUUCCAAAUAGCUGAGGGUUUUUUUUUCUUAUUUUCCUUUACAUUGAUGAAGUACCAUAUUCCACAAACAGCCUUUUUAUAGUCAGUGAUCCUGAUUUUCAUCUGUAUUAGGACAUCCUCUCUUUUUUUUUUUUGGUUGUAUAGUGACAUUCAGGCCUGAACUCCAGUGAGGUACUAUAAAACUGCCUCAUUCAUUAUAGUAUGUUGUCAAACCAAAGUGAGUUAAGAAAAAACAAACUCCCAAAACAGAGUUACAGGCAAAUUUUGUAGAGAUUUUUCUUAGCAAAGAGACUUUUCAUGGCAUGUAGUUUGAUGAGCAUUAAUUAAGAAUGAAGAGUAUUUUUUUGUCAUGGAAGUGCCAAGGAAGGUAGAUGUUUGAAUAUUAACUCAGUGGUAGGCAAUAUCACUUGAAAAUCACACUUUUUCAGUGUCUCAGGCCACAUAACUCAUACGAUGAGUGAGGUGAAGGGCUUGAUGCAUUUCAGAAAGAUGCAUGGGCAGGCUUUCUGUUGUGGGGCAACAUUCAGGGAAAGUUAAAUCCAGUGACAGAAUGUCUGCUUAACUCAUAAAUCUCUAGAAAUUUUUCAGUUUUGGCCUGGAGUGAUGUUUAUGUGCAUGUCAGUGAACUUAAAAUCAAAGCCUCUUGCCUGGCCUACGGGAAAGGAAAUGCAUCAUGAGAAUAGGACACCUUCCAACACUAAGGAUUCCUUAUAAUUUUCCACUGAACACCUCCAGGUUAAUAUUGUAGCAACAAGACUCUCACAGUGGAAUGUAUUGAACAGUCCUUUCUUGAUUAAUGUUGUACUUCUUUAGAAAGGAUAUAAAGGUCAAGGUGACAAGGACUACAGUGAUUUACUGGCAGAAAUCUGUUAGGUAUUUUGAAGGCUGUUAUUCAAAUGUCUGAUGUAUUUCCAAACAAAUGCUUGAACUUGGACUGCAUGGUUUGAUUCAAGGCUGCUGGAAAGGAGAGAGCAACAGACUUGUGCCUAUUACUAAAAAAACUGAAUGAAUAAACAAAUUUCUCAAGGGCUUUUCUGGUCUAGACUACAAGUGUCAGGCCCUUCUGACUUCCAGAGUUGAUGCUGUCUUAGUGACACAUACUGUCUACCACUGCCUCUGCAAAGUGUGCCUCUGCAUGCUACCAUGUUACCAAAACAACCAGCACCUGUAAGUUUAUUCCUAGUGAUGUCUAAGGAAAAUGGAUUUCCAUUCAUUAUAAAACAAUUUACCCCUUAGCUGGGGGCAGUUUUCAUCAGUUCAAAAGCAAUGACAUACUAGUGACAGAUUAACAUGUUAUUUCUAAUUUCUUCACUUUUAGUUUUCUAAAGAUGCAAGUAUGAGAACUUUAAAAAUUGUUCUUUUUUAAGAUGUUUGAAAUGGUUUUUAAGAAGCACUAAGGCUUAGUGAUCUGCUUGGGUAUUAGGAUGUUGUUGAGCAAGUCAACUUCUGUAUAUUCUUAGUGUAAUAAAUCUAGACUAUUUAGCAGUCUAAUUUGUAUAAAAUCUUGUGUGAUCUGACUAUAUGUUAUGCUUUUUUAAAACAUUUACAUGGUUCUUAUAUCUCUUUGGCUUAGUAUUUCAGGUGAAAACUAAGAAAAUCCUAGCAUGUUGUCUUUCCGUUUUAACUUGUUAUAAAACAAACAUAAGAUGUAUCAUAUUUAGCAUUAUUUUAGUUUAAGCAGUACUAUUUUUUAAUUGAAUCUUUUAGAAACUGUGGCAAGAUUCUCCACUGUAGGUACAAGAUACCCAUAUCCUACCCACUGCAACUUUGCAUGCUGAAGAUCCUCUAUACAGAAAAAACUAGUUGGAUGUACUUACAUAAAUGCCUUUUGCUGUAUCCUUGAGUAAAGCCCUGUGAGUUCACAUGUAACAGGAUGAAACAGAAGGCAGAUUGCAUAGGCCAGAUUAAAGCAUUCAGAGCUAGGAGAUGAGUCACAAAGGGUAACAUUAUUCCUGAUGAAAAUUCAAGAUUAACAUAUUUUUAACCCUGCUUUCCUGCAGAUCUCGCUACAAAAGGCCAAAGCCUUGGCCAGAGAAGAGACCAUAGCUAAAUCAGGUGGCACUUCAAAGUUGAGUUGCUGCUGAUGUACAAAGCUCUUGCUGGCUUCCCUCAUGUCCCCUCAAAUAUUCCAGGCUUAGAGAUGGGCCUGUGGUCUUUCAGUAACAUGUCCAGAAAGGUUUGAUGAAGUCAUCUUAAUGGAAGUCUGUCGAACUAUUCCCCUUAAGGUAGUUCUGUGUGAAAAGAUGAAGUAGGAAUUAUCAUUUCCAUUGCUAAAUGCAAACUCUUAUUAAAUGUGCAUAUUUUUACUACAGUCAAACUUCACUGACUGUAGAAGAGUCAUGGGCAAGAUGUGUGGGGUUUUUUCAUCAUUCUUAUUUCUGGGAGUCGAGCACAACAGGCAGGGCAACUUUACUGACAUGUAGUGGCUAUUGGCUUUGAGAAUAAUUUUGGUUAGAUUUCAGUCUGUUAUCUCAAUCUUCUGUGCUUUAUCAUCUUGAAGAAGUUGGAGAACAAUUUAAAAAUGGAUAGAUGUUUGGCAUUUGGGGAUAAUGAGCACAGAGCCUUGGGUGACAUGGUUUAGCAUGAAGUGUCCCUGCCCAUGGCAGAGAGGUUGGAACUAGAUGAUCUUAAGGUCCUUUCCAACCCUAACUAUUCUAUGAUUCUAUGAUUACAUUAUAAUCUUUCCUUUAUAAAAUUGAUUGAAUGAGACUGUAAUGUCUGUUUAAAAUAAAAACCUAGGGUAGCUGUAGGUCCAUGGACUGAUAUGCCUAGGAGCAAUGUCAUGUCAUCUCUCUCUGCUCACACUUUUAUUCAUCAUCUAUCCUCUUAGGCUUAAAAGAAGCGCCUUUAAGAUCACAGAAUAUAAGUUUAAAUGGUCUCUGAUCUCAUUGUUCUGAUUUUUUCCUGAUCAUAGAAUUAAACUUGAAACAGCUAGGUCAUCAAUGCAAUGGUUUUUAACUGUACCACCACGAGAUCAAAAAAACAAA